AGUUUUCCUCUUCCUCCUCCUUCGUGGAGCCACCCCUUCUCCCUCGCCUCCUUCUUCCCUCUCCAUCACAGAUUAGUUUCAGAGAGAGAGAGAGAGGUUCAGGUUCAGAGACAGAGGAGAGUGCGUCGUCCCCGCCUUCUCUUUCGUCGCCGACAGCCCCUCUGUGGCGUCCGGGAUGCCCGUGAGGAUGUUGGGGCUGUCUUCGUCCCGUUCCCGCCGCUAGGAGAGGCCAAGCCCCCUCCAUAGAGUCAACCCCGUCGUCAGUCACCGGUGCGGAAGCUUCGCUGCAGCAGGCCGCCCCGAGCGUCUUCUUCCCUUGUGUGUCCUCGUCCUCGCCUUCGAUUCAACCUGGCUGAGCAGCGUAACCCUCUUCGCCUCUUCCGCAUGCUCGAUUGCCUUGUCGUAGCGUAGCAUCGCCACCAUCGUGGUCCGCCAUGCCCGAAAGCGCAAGCUUCUUACGCCGCCUGUAGAGUCCCCCUCUCGUCAUGAUUGCUUCGGGAAUGGAAUCCCGAGUGACUCUGCAUCCCCCGCCGGUGUCCAUCCGCGCCGUUGGUGGCCCGUGUGUUCGCCGGCGUUCGCCUCUGUUUCGGUCGCCGGAGCAACAGUGCAGUGCAGAGGGGCCGGCUCAAAAGAGCAAGACCACCUCUCUGUUCAUAUCUCCCCUUCCUAGCCCAGUGGUUCCAGCGUUGCGCCUGGACCGCGUGGUCGUGGGUUGGAAUCCUGUCGACGUCCCCCUUUUUAUUUCAUUUUAAACCUGUUGCGAGUAGCAGUGUGGUUAGCAUAGUUGAUUAGCAGUCCCCUCACUGUCAAGAGUCGAGGCUGUAGCGCAGUGGUAGCGUGUGUGCGUGAGUUACCUGGAGGUGCAGGGUUCGAAUCCCCCCGACAGCAAUUUUCACUGGGCCCCAUGCCAUAUUGUUGUUGUUAUUUUGUUUUUAGUUGUUUUCCAUUUUAGGUAUAGUCCAAAUGGGGAUACAGCCAGAUUUGGCAUGUGCCAAAUUAGGCAGUUCUGACUUACAAAUGUAUUGGACCUAUGUGUAUUUCACUUCUUAUUUGUGGCUGUUAUAUUACCUUUUGUGGAUUAAUUCCAGAAGUGGUAGUUGCCUAAUCUGGUAUAUACCAGAUAUGACACGACAAGAACAACUCCUGUUCUUGGCAGAGUUAGUUUUGAUCCUGUGUAGAUUUUCUUUUGUUCUUUGUGGUGUUCUACUAUAUGCAGAGAUGACACUAUAAUAUAUGGAUUUGUGGUAAAAGAACCCAAGGAAUCCAAUGGUGGCACUGGAUUCUAGAUUUGAGCAUUUCUGCAGAAGUAUGACUUUGUCUUGAAGUGACACCUUAUAGUAUGAGUAUGGUUGUUUUAUGUGCUUGUUUGGAGUAGUGCACACAUGCAUCAUAUUGUCUGUUGCAUCAUUUGUUGCUGGUGUUUAUUAGAUGUUUGUUUCUUUUGGGUAGUUACUAGGGCCGGAAAUGAGUUCGAG
rnacentral:lncRNA from 1 species